rnacentral:rRNA from 1 species
UACUACGGGAUAACCCGUUGAAAGACGGCCUAAUACCGUAUGAUAUCGUUUGCUGACAUCAAAAUAACGAUUAAAAGGUUUAGCGGGUUAUGGAUGGGGAUGCGUCUGAUUAGCUUGUUGGCGGGGUAACGGCCCACCAAGGCUACGAUCAGUAGGGGUUCUGAGAGGAAGGUCCCCCCCACAUUGGAACUGAGACACGGUCCAAACUCCUACGGGAGGCAGCAGUGAGGAAUAUUGGUCAAUGGGGCGAGAGCCUGAACCAGCCAAGUAGCGUGCAGGAUGACGGCCCUAUGGGUUGUAAACUGCUUUUAUGUGGGGAUAAAGUGCGUGACGUGUCAUGCAUUGCAGGUACCACAUGAAUAAGGACCGGCUAAUUCCGUGCCAGCAGCCGCGGUAAU